GACAGGCUGAUCACUGAUCUUCAAAAAGUGAAACCAAAUGAAAUUUAGUAAAACAGUUAUUAAUAUUUGAAAAACAGAUUGACUUGUGUACACUGAGGUACCAUAUUUAGGAAGCACUUCAAGUCAACAGACAUCUGGUAAAGUAAAGAAAAAACAGAGAAAAUCCUUGACAGUUGAAAGUGACACAGAGAUAGAUGAACCAGUGGUAACAACAACCAGUAAAAUUGCUAAAAGAUCAAGACGCAAAUGUUCUGGACCAAAAUUUGUAGGGAGAGAAAUAGUACAUGAAUGGGUGGAGGAAAACAGCAACAGAAAGUGGUAUAAGGGCAGGGUUAUUUCUGUUAUCAAGAAUAAAGAUGGAGACAAAGAUGCUGUAUAUGAAGUUCUAUAUGAAGACUGUGAUGAACCUUAUGAGAUUGAUCAUUUGCUAGAGGAUUUUACAAAUUCCUCUUUGAAAUUGAUUGAUUUAUAGAUUUUUAGAAGACAGAAGAUAUACAGGGCAUUUUUUCUACAAAAGGACUUACAUUUGGUAUUAUAUUACUUUUAUUUGACAUUUUAUAUUUAAAUAAAUGUGACAUUAUGAUAGUAAUGACCAUGACGAACACAUUGAUAUGUAAUAAGUCAUAAAUUGUUGGGCAGAAAUAUUUUUAAAUAUUUGUUUUUUGUUUUUUCAAAAGUUUGUUAUGAUGAACCUUAAUCAUUGUUCCGUAUCAAUGUACUUGUAAUUAAAAAGAGUUUGUCGAUCGGUAGUACGAUCAUGUCUGUUUCAAUUAUUUCCUAAAGAUCCGUAAAACUGUGUAUGGGUUUGUUAUUUUCUUUUUUCGGUAAAACAACUGUACGAUUGACAAGAGAUAACGACACUGUUAGUCCCUGGUUGUUUGUGCUACUUUG